GCUUACGGCCAUACCACCUUAGGCACGCCCGAUCUCGUCUGAUCUCGGAAGCUAAGCAGGGUCGGGCCUGGUUAGUACGUUGGAUGGGUGACCGCCUGGGAAUACCAGGUGCUGUAAGCA
rnacentral:rRNA from 10 species